CUAACCAUUACAUACUGUGUAUUCAAACUAGUUGGUACAGCUCGUCUGGAGGAACUACUGAGAAACUUGAGGAAGAUUACCUACUUAUCUAAAGAAAAUGCUACUGAUACUACACAUUAAUAAGCAGCUGUUUGCUAUGUCGUCACUGCUUCAAGAAUUCUGAUGAACUCACAUAUUGGGAGGAUUGCAGUGAGAAACAAACAUUCCGAUCAUUAACAUGUACACAGUAAAGCACUGAGUCUUCACCCAAAAUUUUACAUAGUUCAUCGAGUCUCUGCUGCAUUUUGGGAAUUCCAGCUAGCUGAGAUUCUAGUUUUUGUUUUUCUUCACUCAGUGUUAAACGGACUGCAG